rnacentral:rRNA from 1 species
CGUCGAGCACUCUAGACAGACUGCCUGUACAAGCAGGAGGAAGGUGGGGAGUGACGUCAAGUCAGUAUGGCCCUUACGCCCUGGGCUGCACACGUGCUACAAUGGUCGGUACAGAAGGAUGCAAGACCGCGAGGUGGAGCAAAUCCCCAAAACCCGGACCCCCACGUUCGGAUUGGAGUCUGCAACUCGACUCCAUGAAGUUGGAUUCGCUAGUAAUGGCGCAUCAGCUACGGCGCCAUGAAUACGUUCCCGGGCCUU